AACGAACGCUGGCGGCAGGCUUAACACAUGCAAGUCGAACGCCCCGCAAGGGGAGUGGCAGACGGGUGAGUAACGCGUGGGAAUCUACCGUACCCUACGGAAUAACGCAUGGAAACGUGUGCUAAUACCGUAUACGCCCUUAGGGGGAAAGAUUUAUCGGGGAAUGAUGAGCCCGCGUUGGAUUAGCUAGUUGGUGGGGUAAAGGCCUACCAAGGCGACGAUCCAUAGCUGGUCUGAGAGGAUGUUCAGCCACAUUGGGACUGAGACACGGCCCAAACUCCUACGGGAGGCAGCAGUGGGGAAUAUUGGACAAUGGGCGCAAGCCUGAUCCAGCCAUGCCGCGUGAGUGAUGAAGGUCUUAGGAUUGUAAAGCUCUUUCACCGAUGAAGAUAAUGACGGUAGUCGGAGAAGAAGCCCCGGCUAACUUCGUGCCAGCAGCCGCCGUAAGAC
rnacentral:rRNA from 1 species